rnacentral:rRNA from 1 species
AUUGAACGCUAGCGGCAUGCCUGACACUUGCAAGUCGAACGGCAGCACGAACCUCGGUUUGGUGCCGAGUGGCGCACGGCUGAGUAAAGCAUCCGAACGUGCCUAGUAGUGGGGGAUAACAACUCGACAGAGUAGCUACUACCGCAUACGACCCAAGGAUGAAAGUGGGGUAUCUUCGGAUCUCAUGCUAUUAGAGCGCGCGAUGUCAGAUUAGCAAGUUGGCGAGGUAAAAGCUCACCAAGGGGACGAUCGGUAGCUGGCCUGAGAGGACGAGCAGCCACACUGAGACUGAGACACGGCCCAGACUCCGACGGGAGGCAGCAGUGGGGAAUUUUGGACAAUGGGCGAAAGCCUGAUCCAGCAAUGCCGGGUGUGUGAAGAAGGCCUGCGGGUUGUAAAGCACUUUUGUUCGGGAAGAAAAGGUUUGUGUUAAUACCAUAAGCUGAUGACGGUACCGAAAGAAUAAGCACCGGCUAACUACGUGCCAGCAGCCGCAGUAA